GGCAGACUACGAAGGAGAAGUGGAAAUCCAGAGGAGACCGUAGCACCAAGUCAGGUGUGGAGAGAGAAGAUAACUAUACACGAAGAAGUGGCGCCGCCGGAAGCACCGACUACGCCACCCGAUUAAUCCCAAGACAACUAGAAAACAGAGAGUCCCGUUCGGAGGACUUAAAAACACCGAACGCCUUGCCAAGAGGUAAACUUGGUAGUUAUCCUUUACCUUUCAAUUAUUUUAAACAGUUUUGUUAGUUAAUCAUGUUCAUACUAUCCUAAAAACAAAAUAAAAAUGUUAAAAAACAGUAAGCCCCUUGUGAGUAUACGAGUGGCAUGAAACCCAUAAGUACAUUCACUAUGGUGGCAUAAAAAUAAGAUAAAUAUUAUUUCUGCUCUAUAAAAUAAAAAUAUAAAAA
rnacentral:lncRNA from 1 species